rnacentral:piRNA from 1 species
UUAUUAGCUUGGUAGUUGGAACC